UACGGGAGGGUGCAAGCGUUAUCCGGAUUCACUGGGUUUAAAGGGUGCGUAGGUGGGCAGGUAAGUCAGUGGUGAAAUCUCCGGGCUUAACCCGGAAACGUGCCAUUGAUACUAUCUGUCUUGAAUACCGUGGAGGUGAGCGGAAUAUGUCAUGUAGCGGUGAAAUGCUUAGAUAUGACAUAGAACACCAAUUGCGAAGGCAGCUACACUACGCGAAUAUUGACACUGAGGCACGAAAGCGUGGGGGAUCAAACAAGGAGU
rnacentral:rRNA from 1 species